GGUCAUGGAAACAAGAUCAUCCCACGAUCGAAAAGGAGAUCCUCCCAUGAUCUCAUCCAUGGCUGCCUCUUCCCGUCAGCGGCAUGCCUGCAGUUCUCCGUCGCGUCACUAUCCCAUCCACGACCAUGGCGAUAUCAUCCACCGCCGCAUCUUCCGGUGAACCGCAUCACUGCCGCCUCUUCUUUCUCUUGGUGUCCAGCCGCUCAAGUACGCUUCCUUGCCGUCCACACAUUCUCAGGUCAGACCGCGACUUCUGUGACAGAUUAGAGUACAGGGGGACGGGCGACAUUGAAGGAUGAAUAUGAAACGCGAGCGAAGCUUCAGUUCAAAAUCACUAGAGAAACUUCAGUUCAAAAUCACGAGAGAAUAUUUAGCAUGUUCAACCUGGCAAUAAAUACGCGAUGCACAUGCCCUGCAUGAUGAGAUAUACCUGGAGCUGAGCUUCUCUCCUAUGGCCAUCAAUGGGCCAGACCAAUCUGGGGAUGUCGCAACAAAGUGUUGAGCAUAGGAGGCUUGGCAGGGUUUUGGACAUGUACAUUCGAACAUUGUUGUACAAACAAUAACAGUUUGUAAACAUCCAAGUCUUAGUACAUAUUACUCUACUUGAUAUUUUUGUUUCAUACAUUUUACUUGCUCGGUUUGUAUGUGUGAGCGAAGUAACUAUUGUCGUCUGGACUGUGGGCAGUGGGAGAGCUAGCUUGCAAAUCUCAGCCAUGGUCCAUGAGGGGAAGGUAAGUAGAAGAUUAACAAAAGGUAAACAUACUGUCGGCAUAUGACCAAAUGCACGAUACUUAAAGCAAGACUGAUGAACUAGAAAGUAUGUUGCGGAACUGAAACUAACUAUACAAUCAGCAAUCCUAGCUUCGUUUCUAUGUGUGAACAAGUAGUUGUUGUGGCCUGGACAGAGGACAUGGGAGAGCUAGAUUACAAAUCUGAGCCAUGGUCCAUGAGAGGAAGGUAAGUGGAUGAUUCACCAACGUAGACAUCCACCAUGUGUGUGCCCCGAAAGCAGCAGAAGUUCGGCCCCAACCCCAUCAACUUGAUCAUCGAUGUGCUCAACACAGGUAUGUGAUAAUCCAAGCCCUAUGCACCUUCUCUAUCCUAUUCCAAUCAUCGUCAACCAGUCUGAUUCCUUCCUGUGUUCUGUUGGGCGGCGAUGAAGUCUGGGUAUUUGAAGAAUUUUUUUCUUUUGCUGAAUUUUCAACCGCAGUGGAUGCGUACAUUGAUUUUAUAUCAUAAGAAUUAUCAUGUUCUUGGCUCUAUCAACUUGCAAGAAAAAAAUGUUAUGCAUGGCAGACAUGUGUAUCAAUCUUGGUGUUCUGCUUCUACUAUUUGCAUACAAGCAGCUAUGUAUGUGACCUAACUCAUGUGCUACUUACAGAAAAUGAUUUUUAUCUCAGGAAGAUAGAAGUCAUUCUCUUGAACAAGACACCAUUCAGGUAGCCAGUAUAUUUACACUAAAUUCCCUUCCAUGUUGCUACUUGCAUACCAAAGGUUGAAGAUCAGCUCAUAAGCAGCAUCCAUAUCAGAAAGUAAUGCUGAAUUUCUUCUAGGGUGUACUAGAUUUUCUCAAAAGCUUUGCAAUGAUGGAUGAUAAGGAGCUGUUUAUGUGCAUUUAAUGUUGCAAUGACCUAUGUUCUGAAAUAGAUAUAGCUUAAAAUCUGAGACCUGCCAUAAGAAAUAAUCCAAGGUAUGAACAGUUCAUUCAGUACAACAGCAGAGCCGCCAAUGUUUUAUUACUGAGAGCGGGAUUUAAUUAACUGAUGGAUGCAGUCACAUAUUAUAUCUGAAGUUAUUUCUUUUUAGGUGUAUAUUUCAAGUUAUCCUGAGAGUUCAUGUUUGAUGCUGACCAAGGAGUUUGCUCUCUCAAAGUAUAGUAUACUCAUGUAGGCUGUUUUUAUAUGUUGCUCUUGCAUAAUGAGCUGUAUGCAUCCUCUCUUUGCCAACGUUAGCUAGGCUCCAUGAGGGUGUCUUUAUAUGUUAGGAUUCUGAUUACUAAGAACCAUCAUACAGUUGCACUUAUAUUAAUGUAUGGUCCAUGGUAUGAGCGCAUCCUAUCUUUAUAUUGAAUUACUUAGAUUUUAUAUAAAUAUACAACCUUUCUCUGAGGUGAUGUAGGAAAUUUUGCAACUGAUACUAAAAUAUGGUUACUUUUUUUCCACUUAGGACACUGGCGUUUUUGUGGAGCUACAGGCCGCUUCUAAGUCAAACUUGGUUAUGUUUGACCAACUAUAUAGGAAAAUGUGAUAAGAUCUAAUACAAUCCCAAAUACCCAUAAUAAAAAAAUACAUUUCAUAAUAGAUAUCAUGAGACUAAUUUGGUGUUCAAGAUGAUUAUAUAUUUUUCCUGACCAUUAAUGUUAAAUAUUGAUGGUCAAAAUUUAAGGAUGUAAGGUUACAUGCAAACAUUGUAAUGAACAAAGAGUGCAACACGUGACGUACAAAUAGAAUGGGAUAUA